CUUAAAAAUGUUGUAAACAUCACCUGCAAGAUGACUGUUGAAUAUUUGUACCGUCAUUUAUUAGCAUUAUCCUACUAGUAGAUGUUGAGGUUGUUUCUAAUUGUUGGCUACUAUAAAUAACUGUCAUGAAUAAUUUUGUGCUCAAAAGUUUGUUUACAUUUUACUUAAUUUCCUAAGACAGGAUUCUCAGAAGUGGAAUUGCUGAGUCAGGUUGGGUUGCCUGAAUUUCUGAGGACUCUUAGUACACACUUCUAAAUUGAUUUUCAAAAUUUAUGUCCAUGUAUACCCUGGUCAACCAGAAUGCAUUCUAAAACUACCACUAUACUAUCAUAUUAAAAGGUUCAAAAUACUUCAUUCAAGUCUCAUUAUGGACCUGCAGAGUACAGUUUCACAAGCAAGAACUCUGUCCUGAAUCUUUCUAACAAGGAUCAGUCCUAGAGCCCAUCAGUUAGCUAUUUAGUUAAUUAAUCCAUCUCCCCCCGCCAUCUACUAUAAAAGGGAGAAAUUUCUCAUGUUGGUUGACAGGUUUAUCAGAUACUUGGGCUUAUAAUAAAAAGGACUCUUUCAGUGAAGCUGUUUGGUCCACUGUACGUUCUAGGGUCAUUGUGGAUGUGUUUGUUUCUUUCCCUCUAACCAUUCAUUUACUUCCAAAUUAAAAGACUAGGAAAAAACUUUCCCCCAGUAGCAUUCCAUUUUGAGACCCUUGGAAGAACAAUCCACUCAUCUAAAUAAUGAGUUUUAUUUAUUAUUGUUAUGGUGUGAAGACGUGUUUAAUCUAUCCCCAAGGGACUGGAAAAAAGGUCUAGAAUCUUUUUUUACUUCCACUUUUUUGCCAAAUAGUUAACUUCAUCAAAGGUGAAGAACCAUUUCCAAAGCUCACUGGGACUGGAGGGUUCUUCCUUUCAUCUUAUAGAUACUUCAGUGUCCUCCUCUAUAAGAUGAAGUCAAUGGAUCGGCUGAAUAGUUAGGUUCCUUCCAAGUAUAAUAUUCUGAAUCUUUGAUAACCUUUUUGAUGGGAGGGUUCCUGAAAUUUCAGAUUUGAAAUUUAGACAGGACAUAGCAAUCUAAGCCUGAAAGAUACUUUGUCUAGUGUUUUGAUCAUCAAGAACAAUCACAUCUGAGCUCAUAGCUGGGGGCCAAAUAUUCAAACAGGUAGAACCAGACUAUCUUUUCUGUGGUUGAGAAGAUGGGUUCAUCUCCCUAAUCUAUUUGGACAUGGAGGAUGGCCUUGCAAAAAUUAAUGACAGGAUGAGGCAU
rnacentral:lncRNA from 1 species